rnacentral:rRNA from 1 species
AACGAACGCUGGCGGCAUGCCUAACACAUGCAAGUCGAACGAGACCUUCGGGUCUAGUGGCGCACGGGUGCGUAACGCGUGGGAACCUGCCCUUAGGUUCGGAAUAACUCCCCGAAAGGGGUGCUAAUACCGGAUAAUGUCUUCGGACCAAAGAUUUAUCGCCUUUGGAUGGGCCCGCGUUGGAUUAGCUGGUUGGUAGGGUAAAAGCCUACCAAGGCGACGAUCCAUAGCUGGUCUGAGAGGAUGAUCAGCCACACUGGGACUGAGACACGGCCCAGACUGCUACGGGAGGCAGCAGUGGGGAAUAUUGGACAAUGGGCGAAAGCCUGAUCCAGCAAUGCCGCGUGAGUGAUGAAGGCCUUAGGGUUGUAAAGCUCUUUUACCCGGGAUGAUAAUGACAGUACCGGGAGAAUAAGCUCCGGCUAACUCCGUG